GUGCCAGCAGCCGCGGUAAGACGAACCGUGCAAACGUUGUUCGGAAUCACUGGGCUUAAAGGGCGCGUAGGCGGCUUGCAAAGUCAGGGGUGAAAUCUUUCGGCUCAACCGGAAAAGUGCCUCUGAUACUGGCAGGCUUGAGUGAGGUAGGGGCAUGUGGAACUUCCGGUGGAGCGGUGAAAUGCGUUGAUAUCGGAAGGAACGCCGGUGGCGAAAGCGACGUGCUGGACCUCUUCUGACGCUGAGGCGCGAAAGCUAGGGGAGCGAACGGGAUUAGAUACCCCUGUAGUCC
rnacentral:rRNA from 1 species